UGACCAGGUCAAGUCUCUUGACAGAUUG
rnacentral:piRNA from 1 species